AAGAAUUUAAAGGUCGAACAGACCUAACAUUUGAACAUCUACACCCAAAUAUUUUCUUAGUCCAACAUCGAGGUCGCAAACCCUUUUGUCGAUAAGAACUCUCAAAAAGGAUUACG
rnacentral:rRNA from 1 species